rnacentral:rRNA from 1 species
GAUGAACGCUGGCGGCGUGCCUAAUACAUGCAAGUCGAGCGAACAGAUGAGGAGCUUGCUCCUCUGACGUUAGCGGCGGACGGGUGAGUAACACGUGGAUAACCUACCUAUAAGACUGGGAUAACUUCGGGAAACCGGAGCUAAUACCGGAUAAUAUAUUGAACCGCAUGGUUCAAUAGUGAAAGACGGUCUUGCUGUCACUUAUAGAUGGAUCCGCGCCGCAUUAGCUAGUUGGUAAGGUAACGGCUUACCAAGGCAACGAUGCAUAGCCGACCUGAGAGGGUGAACGGCCCCACUGGAACUGGGACAAGGUCCAGGCUCCUACGGGAGGGAGCAGUAAGGAAUCUUCCGCAAUGGGCGGAAGCCUUACGGAGCAACCGCGGGGGGGUGGUGAAAGUCUUCGGAUCGGAAAACUCUUUUAUUAGGGAAAAACAAAAUUGUAAGUAACUACGCACGUCUUGACGGUACCUAAUCAGGAAGCCACGGCUAACUACGUG